rnacentral:rRNA from 1 species
CCUACGGGUGGCAGCAGUAGGGAAUAUUGGGCAAUGGGCGAAAGCCUGACCCAGCAACGCCGCGUGCACGAUGAAGGUCUUCGGAUCGUAAAGUGCUUUUCUGAGAGAUGAGAAAGGACAGUAUCUCAGGAAUAAGUCUCGGCUAACUACGUGCCAGCAGCCGCGGUAAAACGUAGGAGGCAAGCGUUAUCCGGAUUUACUGGGCGUAAAGCGCGUGCAGGUGGUUUGGUAAGUUGGAUGUGAAAGCUCCUGGCUCAACUGGGAGAGGUCGUUCAAUACU